UACGAGGGGGGCAAGCGUUGUUCGGAAUUAUUGGGCGUAAAGGGCGCGUAGGCGGCGCCACAAGUCACUUGUGAAAACUCUGGGCUCAACUCAGAGCCUGCAAGCGAAACUGUGGUGCUGGAGUAUGGGAGAGGUAAGCGGAAUUCCUGGUGUAGCGGUGAAAUGCGUAGAUAUCAGGAGGAAUACCUGUGGUGUAGACAGCUUACUGGACCAUUUCUGACGCUGAGACACGAAAGCGUGGGUAGCAAACAGG
rnacentral:rRNA from 1 species